UACAGAGACUGCAAGCGUUAUUCUGAUUCACUGGGCGUAAAGGGUGCGCAGGCGGUCGGGUGUGUCAGAUGUGAAAUCCCGAGGCUCAACCUCGGAACUGCGUCUGAAACUACUCGACUAGAGUACUGGAGAGGGUAACGGAAUUCACGGUGUAGCAGUGAAAUGCGUAGAUAUCGUGAGGAACACCAGUGGCGAAGGCGACUACCUGGCCUGUUCUUGACGCUGAGGCGCGAAAGCUAGGGGAGCAAACGGG
rnacentral:rRNA from 1 species